rnacentral:rRNA from 1 species
GACAGAGGGUGCAAACGUUGUUCGGAAUUACUGGGCGUAAAGCGCGUGUAGGCGGCUUUGCAAGUCGGGUGUGAAAGCCCUCGGCUCAACCGAGGAAGUGCGCCCGAAACUGCAGAGCUUGGGUGCCGGAGAGGAUGGCGGAAUUCCCCAAGUAGAGGUGAAAUUCGUAGAUAUGGGGAGGAACACCGGUGGCGAAGGCGGCUCACUGGCUCAUUACUGACGCUCAGGCGCGAUAGCGUGGGGAUCAAACAGG